rnacentral:rRNA from 1 species
ACGGAAGGCAGCAGUGGGGAAUAUUGCACAAUGGGGGAAACCCUGACCCAGCAACGCCGCGUGGAGGAAGAAGGUUUUCGGAUCGUAAACUCCUGUCCUAAGAGACGAGCAGAAGACGGUAUCUUAGGAGGAAGCCCCGGCUAACUACGUGCCAGCAGCCGCGGUAAUACGUAGGGGGCGAGCGUUGUCCGGAAUGAUUGGGCGUAAAGGGCGCGUAGGCGGCCCGUUAAGUCUGGAGUGAAAGUCCUGCUUUUAAGGUGGGAAUUGCUUUGGAUACUGGCGGGCUUGAGUGCAGGAGAGGUAAGUGGAAUUCCCAGUGUAGCGGUGAAAUGCGUAGAUAUUGGGAGGAACACCAGUGGCGAAGGCGACUUACUGGACUGUUACUGACGCUGAGGCGCGAAAGUGUGGGGAGCAAACAGGAUUAGAUACCCUGGUA